AGCGAACGCUGGCGGCAGGCCUAACACAUGCAAGUCGAACGAACUCUUCGGAGUUAGUGGCGGACGGGUGAGUAACACGUGGGAACGUGCCUUUAGGUUCGGAAUAACUCAGGGAAACUUGUGCUAAUACCGAAUGUGCCCUUCGGGGGAAAGAUUUAUCGCCUUUAGAGCGGCCCGCGUCUGAUUAGCUUGUUGGUGGGGUAAUGGCCCACCAAGGCGACGAUCAGUAGCUGGUCUGAGAGGAUGACCAGCCACAUUGGGACUGAGACACGGCCCAAACUCCUACGGGAGGCAGCAGUGGGGAAUCUUGCGCAAUGGGCGAAAGCCUGACGCAGCCAUGCCGCGUGGAUGAUGAGGGUCUUAGGAUUGUAAAAUCCUUUCACCGGUGAAGAUAAUGACUGUAGCCGGAGAAGAAGCCCCGGCUAACUUCGUGCCAGCAGCCGCGGUAACAC
rnacentral:rRNA from 1 species